GGGAGUGGUGGAAUUGGUAGACACAGCGGACUUAAAAUCCGCCGCCUAUAACAAGGCGUGACAGUUCAAGUCUGUCUUCCCG
rnacentral:tRNA from 1 species